GGGGUAAGAGCUGGGACGGAUCGGAAGAUCCGAAAAAGGACUCAUAAUCCGUCGGUCGUGGGUUCGAGUCCCACCCGCCCCA
rnacentral:tRNA from 2 species